AGUGCGCAGGCGCCGCAGCCAGCGCCCCCCGACGCCAGGAGCGCGCAGGCGCGCGGUCCGCUGAGUUUUCUGCGCUUCCUUCUCUCUCUCUCCAGACGUCGUGGUCGUUGGGUCCUAUGUCGCGCCGGGCCCUCAGGAGGCUGAGGGGGGAACAGCGCGGCCAGGAGCCCCUCGGGCCCGGCGCCCUGCAGUUCGACCUCCGUGAUGACGAUGACGCGGAAGAAGAAGGGCUCAAGCGGGAGCUGGGUGGCCGGCGCCCCGGGGAGGCAGGGAAGGAGGGCGUCCGAGUCAACAACCGGUUCGAGCUGAUAAACAUUGAAGAUCUUGAGGAUGACCCUGUGGUGAAUGGGGAGAGGUCUGGCUCUUCGCUCACAGACACUGCCGCACCAGGGAACAAAGGAAGGGCUCCCUGUGGAAACACAGACACCAAGGCGGAUGGAGGCGUGGCCAGGACAGCGCCCCCAGAGCAGUCUAAUGCAAGUGGCAAACUCCGGAAGAAGAAAAAGAAACAGAAAGCUAAGAAAAGCAGCACGGGAGAAGCAGUGGAAAACGGACUAGAAGAUAUUGAUCGCAUCCUAGAGAGGAUUGAGGACAGCAGUGGUUUGAACCGUCCCGGCCCAGCUCCCCUGAGCUCCAGGAAGCACAUUCUCUACGUGGAGCACAGACACUUGAAUCCAGACACAGAACUGAAACGGUAUUUUGGUGCUCGGGCAGUCCUGGGGGAACAAAGGCCACGGCAGAGACAGCGCGUAUACCCCAAGUGCACGUGGCUGACGACCCCUAAGAGCACCUGGCCCCGGUACAGCAAACCAGGUCUGUCCAUGCGGCUGCUGGAAUCGAAAAAAGGCCUGUCCUUGUUUGCGUUCGAGCACAGUGAGGAGUACCAGCAGGCGCAGCACAAGUUCCUGGUGGCCGUGGAGUCCAUGGAGCCCAACAACAUUGUGGUUCUGCUCCAGACGAGCCCAUAUCACGUGGACUCACUCCUGCAGCUCAGCGAUGCCUGCCGCUUUCAAGAGGAUCAGGAGAUGGCUCGAGACCUCAUAGAGAGAGCACUGUACAGUAUGGAGUGUGCGUUCCACCCUUUGUUCAGCCUCACCAGCGGGGCUUGCCGGCUGGAUUACCGCAGACCCGAGAACAGGAGCUUCUACCUGGCCCUCUACAAGCAGAUGAGCUUCCUGGAGAAGCGAGGCUGCCCACGCACCGCACUGGAGUACUGCAAGCUCAUCCUCAGUCUCGAGCCGGAUGAGGACCCCCUCUGCAUGCUGCUGCUCAUUGACCACCUGGCCUUGCGGGCCCGGAACUACGAGUAUCUGAUCCGCCUCUUCCAGGAGUGGGAGGCUCAUCGGAACCUGUCGCAACUCCCAAAUUUUGCCUUCUCUGUUCCACUGGCGUACUUCCUGCUGAGCCAGCAGACAGACCUCCCUGAGCAUGAGCAGAGCUCCGCCAGGGAGAAGGCCUCGCUCUGGAUACAGCAGGCGCUCACCAUGUUCCCUGGAGUCCUCCUGCCCCUGCUCGAGUACUGCAGCGUGCGGCCCGAUGCCACUGUGUCCACUCAUCCCUUCUUUGGACCCAAUGCUGAGAUAAGCCAGCCCCCUGCCCUGAGCCAGCUGGUGAGCCUGUAUCUCGGGAGGUCACACUUUCUCUGGAAAGAGCCCACCACCAUGAGCUGGCUGGAGGAGAACGUCCACAGGGUGCUUCAGGCAGUGGACGCCGGAGACCCUGCAGUGGAAGCCUGCGAGCACAGGCGGAAGCUGCUCUACCAGCGCGCACCCAGGAAUAUCCAGCGCCACGUGGUCCUGUCUGAGAUCAAGGAAGCCGUUGCUGCCCUGCCCCCGGACGUGACCACGCAGUCUGUGAUGGGGUUUGACCCUCUGCCUCCUGCGGACACCAUCUACUCCUACGUCAGGCCCGAGAGACUAAGUCCCAUCAGCCGUGGAAACACGAUUGCACUCUUCUUCCGGUCCCUGUUGCCAAAUUAUACCGCGGAGGGGGAGAGACCCGAGGAAGGAGUGGCUGGGGGUCUGAACCGCAACCAGGGCCUCAACAGGCUGAUGCUGGCUGUGCGCGACAUGAUGGCCAACUUCCACCUCAACGACGUAGAGGCGCCCCACGAGGACGACGCAGAGGGGGAGGGGGAGUGGGACUGAGCGUCCGCAGAGCGCCUGGAAGCUGUACACUUACGUUCCUGAUUUCUGUGCUGGUCGGAAUUGGCCAGCUCCCUGAAGUAGAGAUGCUGACUGUACUGCCGGCCUGGUCCGCUGUGUCUCCUAUAAAUAUGCCUUGAGUCCACCCACAUGGGGAUGUGGUGUUUGGAGCUCCAGCAGCCGUCCUGUGCUUGGGAGUCAAAGAAGAGCCGGUGUUCCAGGGACAGUGAGUGCAGCAGAGGUUGAGCCCAGACCUGCUGUCCUGAGAGGUGGCUGGGUCACUGACGCCUUGGCACUGCUGCUGGGGUUAUGUCGUGAGCUGCCGCUGAGCCUGUUCCUAAUGACCGUGAGACCCGAAGACUACUCUCAAGGCUUGGCCUCUGCCAUGCUUGUGGGGGAUCGUGGAUCCUGCUUCCUCCCUGGCCCUGCUGAGCCCAGUGAGAGCCUGAGGCACAUGUGGCUUCCCCAGCUGGGCCCUUUUCCACUGAGCCAGUCCCCCGCCCCAGAGUCUUCAACGCAGGCACCUCCCACCCUCCCACCCCCCACCCCCGGUUCAAAGGAAACUGAUGGCCCCUGAGCCAAGGGCUGAGGCGGGCUGUGGGCCUGGCUGUCCUUGGGAGCUGUACUGGAGCCCACCAUGUUGGGACCCAGAGGCAGACUCACGGUGGCCCAAGAGCUCGGGACUGUUGGUCCAGUGGUGACCCCCACCUCCCUGUGGGUGGCUGCAGCUGGACAGGCACCCUGGGCUACAGAGCUGGGUUCCCUGCAGCCCUUGGGCGCACACUGCAUGCAUGCAUACGUGUGUGCAUAUUCAUGUGUGCACACGCGUAUGUGUGUGGGUGUUGCAGACCUUGGGUGCCAGACACGGAACAAACCCAGGAAGGCAUCUGUCUUCAUUGUCCUCAUGGGACCCCAGUCCAGAAACGUCCUUGUGGGAAGUGCUCCAUGGGACCAUGCCUCUGCCCGUGGGAAGGCACCGUCCACCACGACCCUGGUGAGCAGGCACGCCGGCCCCAUGUGUCUUCCUGCCGCUCCACACGCAACAUCUCCAGGGGCACUAGGAGAUCCAAACAGAUAGGAUUAGCUGUAGAAGUAUCUGAUUCCAUCUAAUCACAGAUGGUCCUGAGGCUAAUUUAUCUCCCCCAUGACCAUAACGAAUCAGAAUGUUGAUUUUUUCCAGCUCAUCUGUACCUCAUCUCCUUCCCACAGUGCCCCGACAGGCACAUCCAAUGAGAACCACAGUGGGAGUCCUGUGGCAGGGUCAUCCACUUCUGAUGCCCUCCAGCUGUGUCCUGGCAGGAAACGGGCUGCCUGAUUCUCAUGCCCUUUGAAGUCCCAGGCUGGGUGGCUGGGGUGGAGGCUGGGGUUAACCACCAUCUAUUUCAAAGGCCUCAUUAUGGAGAUGCGAAUGUGAACAUCCCUGAAAUGUGAGGAUGCAGUGGGCUGGGAUAGGGCUGCUCACCGGCUCAUGGCCACAGGGGAGCGGGGUUUGGGUCUGUGAAGUGUAUGGAUGUCCAGGGACUCCUAUGCAGGGACAUGGCCCCUCAUGCCAGGGGGCCGUCUGCCUUCCCCAGCCAGGCUCAGCCUCCUCCUCACAUCUGGAACCCUUCUCUCCCCUGUGCUCAGCUGGAAGCACAGCAUGAGGCAGCAAAGGCCAUGGGAGGCAAAAGGCUGGACUGAGGUGAGGCUGUGUGGGUGUGGCCAGACUGCAGGUCUGUGGAGGUGUGAGCAGGGCACGCUGUCCAAAUGAGCUGUGUGUGCUGCCAGACCCAGGUCUGCCAGUCUGAAGAUGGUUUGACCAAGUGUCCCAAAGCAGAAGCCCUGCCCAUGUCCUUCCUGCAUGCCAUCCAGCAGGUGCACGCACCUGUGUCCAUCAGGUGAUAUAGCAAACUGCCAGCAGCACUGUAAUUGACAGAGUCUGAGGCCACCCCAAUGUUCACACAAUGGACACCACGGUCUGAGGCAGAGGAUUGCAGCCACCAGCAUGGGCAAAUCUUAGCCGGAGAGAGCCAGCCGGGUGGGAACGUGGUGUCUGUGUCUGGUGCUGCUUAUGUACCUGGUUCAGGUGGGGCAUCCCUCUGCCUGCGUGUUCGUCAUUGGUGCACGUUUAUGUGUGUUGUACUCAAUUAAAACAUUUUAGGCCCAGU